UCGAGCGAAUGGAUUAAGAGCUUGCUCUUAUGAAGUUAGCGGCGGACGGGUGAGUAACACGUGGGUAACCUGCCCAUAAGACUGGGAUAACUCCGGGAAACCGGGGCUAAUACCGGAUAACAUUUUGAACUGCAUGGUUCGAAAUUGAAAGGCGGCUUCGGCUGUCACUUAUGGAUGGACCCGCGUCGCAUUAGCUAGUUGGUGAGGUAACGGCUCACCAAGGCAACGAUGCGUAGCCGACCUGAGAGGGUGAUCGGCCACACUGGGACUGAGACACGGCCCAGACUCCUACGGGAGGCAGCAGUAGGGAAUCUUCCGCAAUGGACGAAAGUCUGACGGAGCAACGCCGCGUGAGUGAUGAAGGCUUUCGGGUCGUAAAACUCUGUUGUUAGGGAAGAACAAGUGCUAGUUGAAUAAGCUGGCACCUUGACGGUACCUAACCAAAAAGCCACGGCUAACUACGUGCCAGCAGCCGCGGUAAUACGUAGGUGGCAAGCGUUAUCCGGAAUUAUUGGGCGUAAAGCGCGCGCAGGUGGUUUCUUAAGUCUGAUGUGAAAGCCCACGGCUCAACCGUGGAGGGUCAUUGGAAACUGGGAGACUUGAGUGCAGAAGAGGAAAGUGGAAUUCCAUGUGUAGCGGUGAAAUGCGUAGAGAUAUGGAGGAA
rnacentral:rRNA from 1 species